GUGGGGAAUAUUGGACAAUGGGGGAAACCCUGAUCCAGCAAUGCCGCGUGAGUGAUGAAGGCCUUAGGGUUGUAACGCUCUUUUACCCGGGAUGAUAAUGACAGUACCGGGAGAAUAAGCCCCGGCUAACUCCGUCCCAGCAGCCGCGGUAAUACGGAGGGAGCUAGCGUUGUUCGGAAUUACUGGGCGUAAAGCGCACGUAGGCGGCUAUUCAAGUCAGAGGUGAAAGCCCGGGGCUCAACCCCGGAAUUGCCUUUGAAACUAGAUAGCUAGAAUCUGGGAGAGGUGAGUGGAAUUCCGAGUGUAGAGGUGAAAUUCGUAGAUAUUCGGAAGAACACCAGUGGCGAAGGCGGCUCACUGGACCAGAAUUGACGCUGAGGUGCGAAAGCGUGGGGAGCAAA
rnacentral:rRNA from 1 species